GGCAGUUUAGCUUAAUCAGUAGAGUGCUCGAUCGGUACCUGAGAGGUGUGGGUUCGUGUCCCAUGGCUGUCU
rnacentral:tRNA from 1 species